rnacentral:rRNA from 1 species
GACGAACGCUGGCGGCGUGCCUAAUACAUGCAAGUUGAGCGCUGAAGGUUGGUACUUGUACCAACUGGAUGAGCAGCGAACGGGUGAGUAACGCGUGGGGAAUCUGCCUUUGAGCGGGGGACAACAUUUGGAAACGAAUGCUAAUACCGCAUAAAAACUUUAAACACAAGUUUUAAGUUUGAAAGAUGCAAUUGCAUCACUCAAAGAUGAUCCCGCGUUGUAUUAGCUAGUUGGUGAGGUAAAGGCUCACCAAGGCGAUGAUACAUAGCCGACCUGAGAGGGUGAUCGGCCACAUUGGGACUGAGACACGGCCCAAACUCCUACGGGAGGCAGCCGUAGGGAAUCUUCGGCAAUGGACGAAAGUCUGACCGAGCAACGCCGCGUGAGUGAAGAAGGUUUUCGGAUCGUAAAACUCUGUUGGUAGAGAAGAACGUUGGUGAGAGUGGAAAGCUCAUCAAGUGACGGUAACUACACAGAAAGGGACGGCUAACUACGUG